rnacentral:rRNA from 1 species
UACAGAGGUCUCAAGCGUUAUCCGGAAUGAUUGGGCGUAAAGCGUCCGCAGGUGGCAGUUCAAGUCUGCUGUCAAAGACCGGGGCUUAACUUCGGAAAGGCAGUGGAAACUGAACAGCUAGAGUAUGGUAGGGGCAGAGGGAAUUCCUGGUGUAGCGGUGAAAUGCGUAGAUAUCAGGAAGAACAUCGGUGGCGAAGGCGCUCUGCUGGACCAUAACUGACACUCAGGGACGAAAGCUAGGGGAGCGAAUGGG